GAUGAAGAACGCAGCGAAAUGCGAUAAGUAGUGUGAAUUGCAGAAUUCAGUGAAUCAUCGAAUCUUUGAACGCACAUUGCGGCCAUAGGUAUUCCUUUGGCCAUGCCUGUUCGAGCGUCAUUUACACCCUCAAGCCUAGCUUGGUGUUGGGCGCCUGUCCCGCCGUUUUCGCGCGCGGACUCGCCUCAAAGUCAUUGGCGGCGGUCGUGCCGGCCCCCUCGCGCAGCACAUUUGCGCUUCUCGGAGGCCCGGCGGAUCCGCGCUCCAGCAAGACCUUUCACGACUUGACCUCGGAUCAGGUAGGGAUACCCGCUGAACUUAAGCAUAUCAUAGCGGAGGA
rnacentral:misc_RNA from 1 species